rnacentral:rRNA from 1 species
UACGUAGGGUGCAAGCGUUGUCCGGAAUUAUUGGGCGUAAAGAGCUCGUAGGCGGUCUGUCGCGUCGGAUGUGAAAAUCAGGGCUCAACCCUGGACCUGCAUUCGAUACGGGCAGACUAGAGUUCGGUAGGGGAGACUGGAAUUCCUGGUGUAGCGGUGAAAUGCGCAGAUAUCAGGAGGAACACCGGUGGCGAAGGCGGCACUCUGGGCCGGAACUGACGCUGAGGAGCGAAAGCGUGGGGAGCGAACAGG